AUACGGAGGGGGUUAGCGUUGUUCGGAAUUACUGGGCGUAAAGCGCACGUAGGCGGACUGGAAAGUUGGGGGUGAAAUCCCGGGGCUCAACCCCGGAACUGCCUCCAAAACUUCCAAUCUAGAGAUCGAGAGAGGUAAGUGGAAUUCCUAGUGUAGAGGUGAAAUUCGUAGAUAUUAGGAGGAACACCAGUGGCGAAGGCGGCUUACUGGCUCGAUACUGACGCUGAGGUGCGAAAGCGUGGGGAGCAAACAGGAUUAGAAACCCUGUAGUCC
rnacentral:rRNA from 1 species